GUCUACAGCCCUACCAACCUGAAUGUGCCCGAUCUCGUCUGAUCUCGGAAGCUAAGCAGGGUUGGGCCUGGUUAAUACUUGGAUGGAGACGAAAGGCCCUAGGUGAGAUC
rnacentral:rRNA from 1 species